rnacentral:rRNA from 1 species
AUGGAGGGUUUGAUCAAAUUAUUCAAUAUGUGGGAAAUCCAACUGCUUGUGCUCCUCAGCUUCACACUACAAAUUUUCUUGUUCUUUACUGGCAGCCUUCGACAGCAUAGCACCAACAUGUUCCUAAGGAUCUCAAUUUGGGGAGCUUAUCUGGGUGCAGACUUUGUAGCAGUUUAUACCCUUGGCCUUGUCUCGCGGCAUGAGGAUAUCACCAUUGAAAGGCUCUUACCAGGGAAAUCACAACCACUAGCUUUUUUUUGGGCACCAUUUCUCCUCAUCCAUCUUGGUGGGCAAGACACCAUUACUGCCUUUGCCAUGGAGGACAACAACCUGUGGUUGAGGCAUUUCCUGAAUCUAGUGGUACAAGUUGUCCUAGCUAUAUAUGUUUUCUGGAAGUCCAUUGGAAGGCACAGAGUGGAGCUUCUAGUUUCUGGUGUAUUUGUCGUUGUUGUUGGAGUUAUUAAGUAUGGGGAAAGAAUAUGGUCGCUCAAGUGUGGUUGCUUUAAAAGCCUUGAGAUGUCAGGUGGACAACGUUACAAAAAGUUGUCAGGCCUUGAAAGAAAAGUGAGCACUGCUGGUGGCUAUGACAGAAUUGUUUGUACAGCUCUGGGUUCAAUGCCGCGUGUCCAUGAUAUCUUUUCAGGACGUGGCUUGUUUUAUGGUGAGAGAUUCAGCUCAAGUUCAAUGCUAGAUGAUCCCAAACAGGCGAUCAAGACUGUCAGUAUUUUUCUUAGUGUGAUGUAUGCUGAUCUCUACACUAAGGCUCUGGUGGUCAGAACAAGGAAUGGCAUCAUAAGUAGACGCAUCUCUCAGAUGUCCGCUGUUGUUGCUUUUGCUGUGUUCCAUGCAAAUGACAAACAGAGGUAUAUCAAAGUUGACAUUGCAAUCACUUAUUCACUUUUUGUGGGAGGCUUUUUCCUAGAAGCGUGUGCAAUGUUAAUUUCCAUGACGUCACCCUGGACAUGGGCAUGGCUGAAGGUUCGAAACUGGGAUAAGCUUGCCAAGUUGUCCUGGUUUAUUUUUUCCAGUGAUAUUGGAUGGCCGGAAGAGAAGCAAUUGUGGACAAAGUCAAUGGGACAAUACAACCUUGUGAGCUGGAUUACUGGCAGC